rnacentral:lncRNA from 13 species
AUGGACCGGGCCACUGUACAGGAGCUGAGGCUGUGUCUUCAGAACGAACAACAAGAGCUUCUUCACAAAGUGGCCGCUGAUCCGGAGGUCAAGAACAGCACUCCCAAAAAGCCCUCUGCCGAGAGAGUGGAGCAGUCGCUGAAGAAGAUAGAACAGUUGGAGAGGAGGACGGUGUCCAUGGAGCAGGAGACAGAGAGGCUGAGGGAGGACAACCAGCACCUCCAGGAGGCCAACACAGCUCUAACCCAGGACAAGGAGCACCUCCAGGGCUCCCUGGCCCGCCUCCGCAACCAGGGGGCUGCUCGCGACGAGGCGGCCCAUGCCCAGGCACUCGCCCAGGGGGAGAGACACCGCACCGAGGCCCUGGCCCUGGAGACCCAGCUGGAGGGGGCCAGGAAGGAAGCCGGACGCACCCGGCAGCAGCUGCUCCGGCUCAGGCAGGAGCUGGGCAUCCUGAGGGCGGCCCGGGACUUCAACAGGAGGCAGAGAGGACCCAAGGCUAACAUGCUAACAGGGCUGGCCGCAACAGCCACAGCAGGAGGAGGAAUAAGUGGAGGGGCAUUAGCAAACAACAAGGUCAAAUUCAAAACAGGCAUGCGGCCCAGAGGCCCGGCGCGGCUGCACCGCCACCGAGCGGUUGGCCCCAAUCAAGCCAUCGGAGGAGGAGGCCGCAGCCCUGCUAGGGACGACUGGGAGGACAUAAGCGCGGACAGUGGAGAGGAGUACUCUGACAGCCUGGACAGUCACCCAAUCAAGUCACACAGGUACGCAGCCGCCUCAGAACAGCCAGCGGAAGAAUUCUCCAGAACACAGCCCGAUGUUCCGAACCAAGGAUAUAAACAGAGGGAGCCGGGGGAGGAAGGAGGGAAGAGACGAAGUGAGAGAAAGAGGAGGAAGGCCCAAAGGUGCGGCUGCUGUGCCCCCGCCUCACUGCGCGGGCGCGUUCUGGCGCUCCAGCGCCAUCUCGCCGUUCUACAGACCGCCCGAUGUGAUGCCCAGCGCUCCUCCCAGGAGCUGCGAGACGCCAACGAGAAGAUCACGUCGCAGCUCGCCCAGAGACUGAACGUCAGCAAGCAGUUAUCACAGGAACGAGGGAAGCGACAGAAGCUUAGAGGAACCUCCUCUGGGUGACAGGUGAGAUGUCCUACGGUAAUUUCUGAAAAUGUUCCUCCCGCUGUAAAGAAACGUCGGUCACGCAUAUUAACCGAACGGGAUAAUUUGGGUCUGGAAUCGGGCACCUCGCACCCCUCCCGAAACCUCCCCCUCUACCUCGUUCUACAAUUGAACGAACCCGACCCCGUAAUCUCCAGGUGUGGAUCGGCCCAGCUCCCAUCCUGCCCGGAAGAGGCUGGGAUUACCACAGGAUUAGAGGGGUAAAACAGACACGGCUGACAGGGAGAAGAGGGGUUUUUCUGGGUCUAGGCUUUUUAUGCCCAGGCACAUGACAGAGCCUGGCACUUAAAUCCUGGUGACGGACACUAUAAAGGUACAACAUAAUAAAGAUGGGUCCACUGCUGCCUUCAGUUGUCUUUCCAGGAGUCUCUGGUUCAUCUAAAGUCUAGAAUCGAAGGUCGUGGCUGUUGGUCCUUGAGUUCUAUGAUGUUAGUAUGAGUAUCUCUCAUUUAGAACAGUGGAUAAGUAUUGUGUCGUCACUCUGCCGUGGCUUGAUGUUUCUCUGCUGUUAUUCUAGAAGGAUGAUACUGGUGUUGUCUCGUGUCCAUUUUCAAGGUGUUGUACGUAUGUCUGGGUCUAGGUCAUGUUAGGCUAGCGUUCGCUUGUUGUGGUUGAGGAACUGAGCCAGGCCAAAAUGAGGGAUGUGUACUGUACCACUGUGUGUGUCUGUGACUAUGUGGUUCCUUUGCUAUUUUCGGAGCCACCGGCCUCAUUAUUUAUCCUGCUAAUGAUUCGGUAUCACUUGGAAUG